rnacentral:rRNA from 1 species
AUUGAACGCUGGCGGCAUGCCUUACACAUGCAAGUCGAACGGCAGCGGACCUUCGGGUGCCGGCGAGUGGCGAACGGGUGAGUAAUGCAUCGGAACGUGCCAUUGAGUGGGGGAUAACGUAGCGAAAGUUACGCUAAUACCGCAUAUUCUGUGAGCAGGAAAGCAGGGGACCGCAAGGCCUUGCGCUCUUUGAGCGGCCGAUGUCAGAUUAGCUAGUUGGUGAGGUAAAGGCCUACCAAGCCUGCGAUCUAUAGCUGGUCUGAGAGGAUGAUCAGCCACACUGGGGCUGAGACACGGCCCAGACUCCUACGGGAGGCAGCAGUGGGGAAUAUUGGACAAU